rnacentral:rRNA from 1 species
AGCGAACGCUGGCGGCGUGCCUAACACAUGCAAGUCGAACGGUCCACUUACUUAAAGCAAUUUAAGAAUUUGGAUAGUGGCGGACGGGUGAGUAACGCGUGGGUAACCUGCCCAACAGACCGGGACAACACUUGGAAACGAGUGCUAAUACCGGAUAGCCUCUGACCCUGGCAUCAGGGAGAGAGGAAAGGUGGCCUCUAUAUAAAAGCUACCGUUGUUGGAUGGACCCGCGUCUGAUUAGCUGGUUGGUGGGGUAAUGGCCUACCAAGGCGACGAUCAGUAGCCGGCCUGAGAGGGUGAACGGCCACACUGGGACUGAGACACGGCCCAGACUCCUACGGGAGGCAGCAGUGGGGAAUCUUCCGCAAUGGACGAAAGUCUGACGGAGCAACGCCGCGUGUAUGACGAAGGCCUUCGGGUUGUAAAAUACUGUCUUUGGGGACGAAUGUUAGCUAUGAAAAUAUUGUAGUUAAAUGACGGUACCCGAGAAGGAAGCCCCGGCUAACUACGUGCCAGCCGCCGCCGUAACAC